rnacentral:rRNA from 1 species
AGGACGAACGCUGGCGGCGUGCCUAACACAUGCAAGUCGCACGAGAAAGUGGAGCAAUCCAUGAGUAAAGUGGCGCACGGGUGAGUAACACGUGAAUAAUCUACCUCCGAGUGGGGAAUAACUGAGAGAAAUCUUAGCUAAUACCGCAUAAUACCCACGGGUCAAAGCAGCAAUGCGCUUGGAGAGGAGUUCGCGGCCGAUUAGCUAGUUGGCGGGGUAAUGGCCCACCAAGGCGAUGAUCGGUA